UUAACUACUCUGAUCUGAGUGAAAAAAAAAAAUCUGUUCUUAUCUGUUUAAUAUCUGAUACGUCUCCUAUAUGGGGACCAUAAAUUAAAUGGAUUUUUGGAACAGAGAGAUGGAAGAGCUUGCUCUGUCCACUCCACGCAUCAACCUGGUAUUGCAGUACCUCCAGGACCGGUGCACUUCUC
rnacentral:snRNA from 1 species